AUUCCAUGAUGGGGACAUUCUAGGAUGUAGUCUUGGAAGCCCUCCCAUGCUUCUGGAACAAAUUCAUCAUGUUGUUGCUGAAAACUUGUAAUCUUCCCACGGAGAGC
rnacentral:snoRNA from 1 species